rnacentral:rRNA from 1 species
AGAGUUUGAUCCUGGCUCAGGACGAACGCUGGCGGCGUGCUUAACACAUGCAAGUCGUGCGAGAAAACCCCUUCGGGGGUGAGUACAGCGGCGGACGGGUGAGUAACACGUGAGCGAUCUACCCGGUGGCGGGGGACAACCCAGGGAAACCUGGACUAAUACCGCAUACAGCGGAGGGAGUAGGUGCCCUUCGUGAAAGCUGGCCUCUCCAUGGAAGCUAGCGUCGCCGGAGGAGCUCGCGGCCUAUCAGCUUGUUGGUGGGGUAACGGCCUACCAAGGCGAUGACGGGUAGCUGACGUGAGAGCGUGACCAGCCACACUGGGACUGAGACACGGCCCAGACUCCUACGGGAGGCAGCAGUGGGGAAUAUUGCGCAAUGGGCGAAAGCCUGACGCAGCGACGCCGCGUGGGGGAGGAAGGCCCUAGGGUUGUAAACCCCUGUCAGGUGGGACGAACCCUGGGUCGACGAAUAGUUGGCUCAGCUGACGGUACCAUCAGAGGAAGCUCCGGCUAACUCCGUGCCAGCAGCCGCGGUAACACGGGGGGAGCAAGCGUUGUUCGGAAUCACUGGGCGUAAAGCGCGCGUAGGCGGCCGAGUAAGUCGUAUGUGAAAGCCCGGGGCUCAACUCCGGUAUUGCAUGCGAUACUG